AACGUAGGAGACAAACGUUAUCCGGAAUUACUGGGCGUAAAGCGCACGCAGGCGGCUCUUUAAGUUUGACGUGAAAGCUCCCGGCUUAACUGGGAGAGGUCGUUGAAAACUGGAGGGCUUGAGGCAAUGAGAGGGGUGUAGAAUUCCCGGUGUAGUGGUGGAAUGCGUAGAUAUCGGGAGGAAUACCAGUGGCGAAAGCGGCACCCUAGCGUUGUUCUGACGCUCAUGUGCAAAAGCGUGGGGAGCAAACGGG
rnacentral:rRNA from 1 species